rnacentral:rRNA from 1 species
UGGAUCCAGACUUUGAUCCUGGCUCAGGAUGAACGCUAGCUACAGGCUUAACACAUGCAAGUCGAGGGGCAGCAUUACGGUAGCUUGCUACUGUAGAUGGCGACCGGCGCACGGGUGAGUAACGCGUAUCCAACCUGCCCAUGACUUGGGGAUAACCUUGCGAAAGCAAGCCUAACACCCGAUACGCUUCAUAGAUGGCAUCUGAAAUGAAGUAAAGUUUACGGUUAUGGAUGGGGAUGCGUCCGAUUAGCUUGUUGGCGGGGUAACGGCCCACCAAGGCAUCGAUCGGUAGGGGUUCUGAGAGGAAGGUCCCCCACAUUGGAACUGAGACACGGUCCAAACUCCUACGGGAGGCAGCAGUGAGGAAUAUUGGUCAAUGGAGGCAACUCUGAACCAGCCAAGUAGCGUGCAGGAUGACGGCCCUAUGGGUUGUAAACUGCUUUUAUGCGGGGAUAAAAUGAUUCACGUGUGGGUUAUUGCAGGUACCGCAUGAAUAAGGACCGGCUAAUUCCGUGCCAGCAGCCGCGGUAAUACGGAAGGUCCGGGCGUUAUCCGGAUUUAUUGGGUUUAAAGGGAGCGUAGGCCGUUGUUUAAGCGUGUUGUGAAAUGUCCCGGCUCAACCGUGGCACUGCAGCGCGAACUGGACGACUUGAGUGCGCGGAACGUAUGCGGAAUUCGUGGUGUAGCGGUGAAAUGCUUAGAUAUCACGAAGAACUCCGAUUGCGAAGGCAGCAUACGGCAGCGCUACUGACGCUGAAGCUCGAAAGCGCGGGUAUCGAACAGGAUUAGAUACCCUGGUAGUCCGCGCGGUAAACGAUGGAUGCCCGCUGUGCGCCAUUUUGGUGUGCGGCCAAGCGAAAGCGUUAAGCAUCCCACCUGGGGAGUACGCCGGCAACGGUGCAACUCAAAGGAAUUGACGGA